GUUUGAUAUAUGACUACCUUUAUUAUAAAUAGGUACUCAGACACUAUUACGAACAUCACAAGAUUGUUCUUCUUUUCUUGACAGUUAAAUACAAAAUUUCACUCAUAUAUCGCUCAUGCAUGUCUUUGGAUGCUCGUGGUGUGAUUAUAAAGGCUCUUUGCAGUAAUGACGCGCUCCAGGUCCGUAUUGUGAGCGUGUCGACGCUGAAGGGCCCUGCAUUAAUUAUGCAUCGCAUUUACAUAAUCUCUUUUGAUCCAGGGCUCUCCUCAGUGUGUGACCCCUCAUCUCAUCACAUCACAUCACAUCACAUCUCUCCUCAUCUCAUCUCAUCACAUCACAUCUCUCCUCAUCUCAUCUCAUCACAUCACAUCACAUCACAUCACAUCUCUCCUCAUCACAUCACAUCUCUCCUCAUCUCACCUCAUCACAUCACAUCUCUCCUCAUCUCAUCUCAUCACAUCACAUCACAUCUCUCCUCAUCUCUCCUCAUCACAUCACAUCACAUCUCUCCUCAUCUCAUCACAUCACAUCACAUCUCUCCUCAUCUCAUCACAUCACAUCUCUCCUCAUCACAUCACAUCACUCCUAAUCUCAUCUCAUCUCAUCACAUCACAUCUCUCCUCAUCUCAUCACAUCACACCUAAUCUCAUCUCAUCUCAUCACAUCACAUCUCUCCUCAUCUCAUCACAUCAUAUCACAUCACAUCUCUCCUCAUCUCAUCUCAUCACAUCACAUCUCUCCUCAUCUCAUCUCAUCAUAUCACAUCACAUCUCUCCUCAUCUCAUCUCAUCUCAUCACAUCUCCCCUCAUCUCAUCUCAUCACAUCACAUCACAUCACAUCUCUCCUCAUCUCAUCUCAUCUCAUCUCAUCACAUCACAUCUCUCCUCAUCUCAUCUCAUCUCAUCUCAUCACAUCACAUCUCUCCUCAUCUCAUCUCAUCUCAUCUCAUCACAUCACAUCUCUCCUCAUCUCAUCUCAUCUCAUCUCAUCACAUCACAUCUCUCCUCAUCUCAUCUCAUCUCAUCUCAUCACAUCACAUCUCUCCUCAUCUCAUCUCAUCUCAUCACAUCACAUCUCUCCUCAUCUCAUCUCAUUUAAUCACAUCACAUCUCAUCACAUCUCUCCUAAUCACAUCACAUCUCAUCUCAUCUCAUCACAUCACAUGUCUCGUCUCGUCUCAUCACAUCACAUCACAUCUCUCCUCAUCUCAUCUCAUCUCAUCUCAUCACAUCACAUCUCUCCUCAUCUCAUCACAUCACAUCACAUCUCAUCUCAUCACAUCACAUCACAUCUCUCCUAAUCUCAUCACAUCACAUCACAUCACAUCACAUCACAUCACAUCACAUCUCAUCUCAUCACAUCACAUCUCUCCUAAUCUCAUCACAUCUCAUCUCAUCACAUCACAUCACAUCACAUCACAUCACAUCACAUCACAUCACAUCACAUGUCUCGUCUCGUCUCAGACGAGUCGAUCGAACCGUCAGCGCGUCACACAAAUGCAGACAAGUAACCUUCAUCUCUGCUGGCUUUGAAAAGGAAAAGAGUUGGAGAAAAAAACUCUAGUCAGCCAUCUAUGUAGGCAGCAUGUUAAGGUGCGGUGCUUAAUUAUUCUGAGAUUGUUUUGAAAGAAGUCUCUUCUGCUCACCAGAGCUGCUUUUAUAUGGUCAAAAAUAUUGUGAAAAUUGUGAAAUAUUAUUACAAAUUAAAACAGCUGUUUUCUAUGUGAAUCUAUGUUAAACUGUAAUGUAUUUCUGUGAUGCGCA
rnacentral:lncRNA from 1 species